rnacentral:misc_RNA from 1 species
CAACCCUCAAGCAAUGCUUGGUAUUGGGCUUCGCUACUCACUUAGCGGGCCUUAAAAUCAGUGGCGGUGCCGUCGGGGCUCUGAGCGUAGUAAAUAUCCUCGCUACAGAGACUCGGUGGACGCUGGCCAUCAACCCCCCCUCUCUAAAGU